AAUAAAUUUAUAUUUAUUUUUAAAAUUAUAAAAAGUUUGAUUUUGGCUUUAUUAUUUAUUUAAUAAUUUUUUUGCAUGUAAAUUAUUGUGAGUAUUAUUAAUUAAUUAAAAAUUAAUUAAUUAAAAAUUUUAAUUUUUUAAAUUAAUUAUUUGCAGCAUUUAAUUUUAAUAAUUAAAAAAAUUUAGAAUUAUAAAUUAUUUUUAAUAAUAACAAAAAAUGUGCCAGCAGUUGCGGUUAAACAUUUUAUUAUAAGUAAAUUUUAUUAAAAAUUAUAAUAUAUAUAUAUAUAUAUAUAUAUAUAUUAUUAUAAAAAUUAAGUGAAAUUUAUUUUUAUUUAAAAUUAUAUAUUUAAAAAAUAAAUUAUUAUUAAAUCUUAAUAUUAAACUAGGAUUAGAUACCCUAUUAUUUAAGAAUUAAAUUUUUUUUUGAAGGAUUAAUAGUUAUGGUCUUUAAACUUAAAAAAAUUGGCGGUAUUUAAAUCUAAUUAGGGGAAUUUGUUUAUUAAAUGAUAAUCCUCAAGAAACCUUACUUUAAUUAAUUUAACUUAUUUAUUGCCGUUAUCAGAUUAUUUUUUAAGAAUUAUAAAUUUUCUUAAUUUUUUAUUUUUAAAAAUUAUUUCAGGUCAUUAUGUAGUUUAUAUUAAAGUUUAAAUGAAUUACAAUAAAUUAUAUUUAUAUGAAUAUAAAAUUGCAAAAUUUUAUUGAAAGUGGACUUAAUAGUAAAUAUUAAAUUAUUAUUUUAUUUUGAAAUAAGAAUUAAAUAUGUACAUAUCGCCCGUCACUCUCGUUUUAAGAUGAGAUAAGUCGUAACAAAGUAGAUAUACUGGAAAGUGUUUCUAGAAAGUUUUAUUAU
rnacentral:ncRNA from 1 species